rnacentral:tRNA from 1 species
GGGGAUGUAGCUCAUCUGGCUAGAGCGCUUGACUGGCAGUCAAGAGGUAGUGGGUUCGACUCCCAUCUUCUCCACAA